AGGUUCCAGAAGAUUGUCCAGGUGUUGGAUGAGGACAGGGAUGGGCGGAUCGAACUUGUCCAUGCCAUGAAGGUGAUUGAAUUGCUAGGAAAGGACAACAUGAAAUUGAAUCCUAAACAGGUGUCUGAAGUGACACGCCUAGUCCAAGAGGAGUUAAUGCGAGAGGAAAAGGAGACACUGAAAGAUAAGGCAGAGACAUUGAAAGACAAAGCAGAGACUUUCAAAACAGAAGAGCUCCAAUCCAAGGGAGAUCAAUCUGCAGAGAAAAGCACUGAUUCAGACAAAAAGAAAGAGAAACAGACAUAAUCGGGACUUCCAACAUCUACUGUGAAUGGAAACAUUUCUUUAGCAUGUGAUGGGAUUUACUCAAAAACUAUCUCCUAUCUAGUGCUAGGCAAACGAAACAAAUCCACUUUCUAACAGGUUUGUUUUGAAAGUGGAUAUACAAAAAAAAGUCUUUUAAGUGAUGAAGUGCAGAUAACAAUCUGCUGAAAAAAGUAAAAGCCAGAACCUGGUAUAUGAUAGGAAGAAUUUGUUGGUGAAUAUUUUUAAGUGACAUUGUAAACAUGCUUUACGAUCAUUAAUUUUUGUAUUAAGUUAUAUGAAUGUGCCACCCGCCACAUUGUUUCAUGUGAUAAGGUGGAAGUCUAGUUCAUAACAUUGUGGAUAAUUUUGUGAAUUCCUCUGAGUUGUCGAUGCUAUUUUCUAUCACCUGCAAUAUCUAUUGUUAAGUUGUAUAUUUCGUAAGUUUAAUAUUUCUGUCCUAUUUCUUGACUUUUGUUUUUGGUGCAUAUCACUGCUAAGAUCACUGCUAUUGCAGUGCUUUGGUUUAGAAUGCAAAGAGAAAGGGGACAAACUAAAGGAAGAUGGUCUGGUCUGUCAAUGAAAGAGUCUAAUGGAAUUAUUGCAUAUACCUGUGCCAUUUCUUUACAUUUACCUGUAGAUAUUUGUUUGAAAAUAUAAACAUCAUUCAAAUUCCAAACAUAUACCUGUACUUGGAAAAAAUCUCUGUGUGCUGAAAAUCAUUUUCAUUAGAAAGUUUUGUAGGUGUUUAAUUAUGACCGUGGUGAAUUGGAAUGAAACAAACAAAAUACUUAAGAUACUGGAUGGUCAACAAAUUUAUUAUUCAUUUUAGAUUCACUAAACAAUUUUAAAAGAUGAUUAAAUAUGAGAAUCAUUAUAGCCAUAAACUAUUAUUUAUUAAGGAAAAAAUCACACGUUAGAAUGCUGUCUGAAAAAUUUGAUUGUUUUUAUUUUUAGAAUUGGCAGUCAUGUUUAAUAUAAAGAUCUUUUAAAGGAUUUUAGUUGUGUCAAAUGACCAAGACCAUCCAGCUUCUUUAAGGUGGUAUGGGCCACCUCCAUGUUGCAGUGUACUAUUUAUUGAAAUAAACAAUAAAAUUAAGUCUAAUUUGAUAAAUAAUUUCUUUCCCAGAUUUGUCAUCUAACAGCGUAGCACAGUGGGUAAGAGUCUGUAAGUCAUGAGUUUGAAUCCUUCUUUACACAUAUUUUUUGGUUAAAUAUUGUAAAAUUUGAAAAUUCUAAACCGAUGAAAGUAUUUUUAUCAUAAUGUACCAAAUCCACAUUGAUAUCAAGAGAUGUCCCAUACCACAUUAAGGUUAAUUCAAUAUGCAUCCACUCGUACAUGUUUCAGUAUGAUACUUUUUUAGUGAAUAUACAAGCUAUAUAAUUAUAUACUGUAUGUUCCCCAUUUUGUUUCAGAUGAAAAGAGAAAGAAUGAAUUUGUUUAAAUAAAAUGACAUGGAGUUUAAUUUGUUUUAAACGAAUAUCUUUCAUCUGCAAAUCAUUGUAUGCAUAUACAUGUACAACCAAUUAAAGCGUGGCGAUAAAAUC
rnacentral:misc_RNA from 1 species